CUUCAAGGAAACUGUCGUCGGACGUCGCGGAAAGCGCAGCCAACCUGAGUCCUGGGAUGCGCCUGAGGACUGGGAUCAGUCUUCCGUGCGGAUCCUUCCUCAUGAGGUUUGUGUGCCUCCUCUGGUCCUGAGGGAGUGCUUUGUCGUGCUAAACCCUAUCCGGUUUAGCACUGACAAGUUGGCUGCAAUGGAUCGCAUUGUUCCAUCCAACCUUGACGUCCCCAUGUAUGCUACCAUGGGGAAUCGCUCAAAGGUCAUUUGUGUGAUUUUAAUAUUAACUGUUUGUGAGUGCAU